GGAGGAGGCUGGACACGUGAAGCCUGUCACAGCCUAGCCAAGCAACUUCUGCAGUCCGUGUUGAAAUCCUGCUGAAGAGAGGCUGGCUGCCAGGAGCUGCAGGCCUCCCAGAAAUGCCAUCCCAUGAUCCAUGGGCUCGUUUCCGCGCAUCAUGAAGAGUUUCACGAAAACAACGGGCACUGUCAUUUGAGGCCUGCGCUUUGACGGCUGCGCCAGGCCUUAGAAGAUGGCCGCUCAUUUGGAAUCUCCCCAGAAGACCUUUACCAAGUCAAAAGACACUCCCCAAACACCUGGCCCAACCCUGGUGGCUCCUGGUUUUACCUGAUCGGAUUACAAUCCCACCCAACACAGCUCUCGAACCACCCCAUAAUCUCGUGUUUCAGAGAGCCAGGAGGAGUUUCUUAGCAACCUUUUCAGAUGUAACCA
rnacentral:lncRNA from 1 species